AUAGUUAAUUUAUUCAUAAUUAAUCUGUAUUUAGUGGAUUACAGUUUUAAUGAAUUUGAUUGUAAUUGAAUAUUUAAGAUUUAUUAAUAAUAUGCAAUUUCAUAUUUUAGAUAUCUUUAGAUAAGAACUAUUUGCAUCUAAUGAUAAAAACAAUAUAGAAGUGUUAUUCUGUUGUCAGUUUUUAGAAUUAAUUCUAGAAAUAAAAUUAAAUUUUUAACCUGUACUCUUAAGAUUUAGAGCAUUAAACCUGAACUAAAAUUAAAAAAAAAUAAAAUUUUAGGAACUGAUAAUAGGAAAUAGGAAGCAAUUACAUAUGCUUUGUUUGUUUAACCAAGUAAAAAUGUAGUUAGUUGAAAUUGUGUAACAGCAGAACAGAAAUAUUUCAGUGCAUAGUAUUGUAUUAAAGAAAUGAAAAUAAAACAGUGAUCAAAAACAGAAUGAUUAUUGUUAUAAUCAUCAAAAAUUAUGAGCAUUGUUUUUAAUUAUAUGAAACAUAGCUGAGACUUUCAUUGAGAAUUACAUGUAGCUCUGGAUUGAAAAACUGUAGUUUAUUCCAGUUCCCAAUCACUGAUUUAUAAAAACAUUAUCAUAUAGUAAUUUAUGAGAAUCAUUAUUUUUCUUAUUAAUUACAAACUGAUUAACCAAUAGUGUUUUACAUUUGUUGCAUUAUAAAAGUAGUAAAAUAAGGUUUAAAGAUGAUUUUAUAUAAACAUUUUAUGGAAAGGAAAAUAACAGUAUUGAUGAAUAUUGUGAAUAAGUUUCUGAUAACAGAAGAUAGAAAUGUUUUCUGAAUGAUUAACAUAAAUUAUGGAUUAAUUGAAAGGUUUACUGAAGAAUGAAAUCAGAAGCAAAGAAGAAAAUGGCAAUUGU